CUACGGGUGGCUGCAGCGGGGAAUAUUGCACAAUGGGCGCAAGCCUGAUGCAGCCAUGCCGCGUGUAUGAAGAAGGCCUUCGGGUUGUAAAGUACUUUCAGCGGGGAGGAAGGGAGUAAAGUUAAUACCUUUGCUCAUUGACGUUACCCGCAGAAGAAGCACCGGCUAACUCCGUGCCAGCAGCCGCGGUAAUACGGAGGGUGCAAGCGUUAAUCGGAAUUACUGUGCGUAAAGCGCACGCAGGCGGUUUGUUAAGUCAGAUGUGAAAUCCCCGGGCUCAACCUGGGAACUGCAUCUGAUACUGGCAAGCUUGAGUCUCGUAGAGGGGGGUAGAAUUCCAGGUGUAGCGGUGAAAUGCGUAGAGAUCUGGAGGAAUACCGGUGGCGAAGGCGGCCCCCUGGACGAAGACUGACGCUCAGGUGCGAAAGCGUGGGGAGCAAACAGGAUUAGAUACCCGCGUAGUC
rnacentral:rRNA from 1 species